UUGGUUCGCAAAAUACUCAUUUUUUACUCUUUUUAUUAGACCUCGAAGAUAUUGUCGAUAUGUUUUAUAUUCAUGUUCGAUUUGGGUGUUACAAGGGUUCUUAAGCACAUUCUGAACCAUCUAAAUCAAUAGUGGCGAUAACUGGAAAAUGAUCUGUGAUGUCAUUUCCAACAACAAAGGAUUUGGUGUCAUUAUAAUGAUAUGUUUUGUAGAAGAUAUGAUCUAAGCAGGUUUUUGAUUUUUUUUGUACCCUAGUGUAAGUGUUAAGCAGUGACGUGAAUCCAUCUUCACUCAAAAUGUCUAAAUAGUUAUCACAAUGAUCUUCAUCUGAUUUAAUAUCAAUGUUGAUGUCUCCAACAAUAAAUUGUAUAUUCCCUCCAUCA